UACGUAGGGUGCAAGCGUUGUCCGGAAUUAUUGGGCGUAAAGAGCUCGUAGGCGGUCUGUCGCGUCUGCUGUGAAAACUCAGGGCUUAACCCUGAGCUUGCAGUGGGUACGGGCAGACUAGAGUGCGGUAGGGGAGACUGGAAUUCCUGGUGUAGCGGUGAAAUGCGUAGAUAUCAGGAGGAACACCUGUGGCGAAAGCGGCUCACUGGACCAUUACUGACGCUGGAUGACGCGAAAGCCUAGGGGAGCAAACAGG
rnacentral:rRNA from 1 species